CUUUGUCAAAGAGCUCGUUGACUCAUUAGUGUUGGACAUUUUUUCUCUUCUCUUCCUGCUGACUGAACUAUUUCUGCCAUAAUUUUCUUCAUUGCAAGUCUCUGCUCGUGGUCAUGGAGGAUUUUGUUUGUGACAAACUAAAGGAGUGGGGUCUGGCUGAAUUGAUCGAAAUAUUUAGAGGGUCAACAGAAGAUGGAAGUAGGAACUGAAAUGACUGCGUGUCACAUCUCUGCCAGGCCAGCCGAACAUCUCAGGACCAUCAGCAUCUCCGUUGGGUUGUUAAACAUCUGCUCCCUCACCAAAAAAGACUUUUUUGUAUACAAGCUUUUGGAGGACAAACAGUUUGACUUCUUGUGCCUGACAGAAACCUGGCAGAAGGAAAAUGAUUUUACACAUCUCAACAAGGCUGCCCCAGAUGGGUACCAUCAUACCGGUCAACCACGCUCUGAAGGACGGGGUGGCGGUGUCGCAAUGUUCUACAGGGACAAAUGGCUUGUGUCUCCUGUCUCCAAUGUCCCCACCUACAACUCUUUUGAAUCUGUAGUACUAAAAAUCCAUCUAUCAGUACCCAUUAUUUUAGCCACCAUCUAUCGCCCACCUAAACCCAAUAGGGAUUUUUUAAAAGACUUUUCUUCUCUUUUAACAUUUUUGCGUACCUUAUCUCCAAGUAUUGUUCUAGUGGGUGAUUUCAAUAUUCACAUGGACAAAUUCGGUAACACUCUGACACGGGAAUUCUCUUCUUUGUUGGAUAGUUUUGAAAUGCAGCAACAUGUUGAAUUUCCAACACACAGGAAAGGACACAUUUUGGAUCUUGUCUGCUGCUCUGCUGUAGAUCUUUCAAACUGUACAGCAUCAGACUUGCCUAACUGUGACCAUAAACUAAUUUCAUUUAAUGUCACUUUCCCACUAACCAAGCUCUAGUUUCAUCUCCUUUUAAAACAUCAGUAACUCUGGGCUUACACAGAUGAUGAUACU